AACUGCGCACUCCAAUGACAUUAGGAAGGCGGAGAGUUGUGGGCAUGCCCCACUCUGCCGUAGCCUUCGCAGAGCAAGGCAUUGAAGAAUGAACGGGAACACAGCGGAGGCCAUGUUUGAUUGCCGAUAACUCCGCUUAUUAUGAACGCAUUGAAGUACUUUU
rnacentral:lncRNA from 1 species